GUGCAGGAAGCAAGGCGGCGCUUCCGUCCGCCCGCCGCCCGGCUCGCCGCCUCUCUUAAAGCCGGAGGGAGGGGGCCGAGGGACUGGCAUACAGACAGACGCUGCUUGUGUGUCCGUGGUGGCCGGCCGCAGAGGGAAGUACAACACGGGGGGAGGAAUAAACACACGGCAGCCCUGCACCUUGCUGCCGCCCUCUGCGUUGCAACCUGCUGGGUGGAUUCACUGCAGAGAGAUAGAUAGAAAGAGAGUGUGAGAGAGAGAGAGAGACGGAGAGCGCUGCAGAAACACUGGAGAACAGGAUUUGCUGGCUCGGCGAGAGAAGGGGAUAGUCCACACAGGCUGGCCCGAAUGGCCGCCGGGGCGAGUUUACGUGCAGUGCUGGCGAGUUUGCUGCUGGCCCUGACUGCCAUCGGUGUGACAAGGGGCCAAGAGGAUUUGGACAGCCUGGCGCUUUACUAUGGGUUCGGGACGGGAGCCACCGAGGAGUCCAUCGUCCUAGCCAACAACGGGGUCCGGGUUCCCUUCGGCAGGUCGGCGGACCUCGACCCGGUGCAAGACCUGGUCAUCCAGGUUGAGCCGGGAGACCGGUGCACCAUCACCGUGCUGGACAACGACCCCUUGUCCCAGAGGCCGGGGCAACUGACGCCCAAGAAGUUCCCGUGCGAGUUCGGCAGGGAGGAGGUGAGAUACUCUCACUUCGGGUCGAGGAGUCCCUCCAGCGACCGGGUGCAGCUGCAACUGAGGUACGACACUCAGACCGAAACGCUGGUGCUCCCCUUCACUCUACAGGUAGACGUGGCCUUCACCCAACUGGAGAUCGUCACCAGGAACAUGCCCUUGGCCGUGGAGAGGCUGCUGGGCACCAGCAAGGCGCUGGACUCCAAGCUGUUGGAGUUGACCUACCAGCCCAACUCGCAGCGCUGUCGGCUGACCCCACUCCCGGGGUCCGGGGGUCUGCCGCGCUACGGGCGGCUGCUGUGGUCCCACCACGACUCCCAGAACCUGCCGUGCGACCAGCUGGACGCCGCCGAGAUCCGAUACCAACACACGGCCCGCGGCCGCUCGCCCAACCGCGACUACAUCCCCAUGGUGGCCGAGAUCUUGGACGUGGAGGGCAACGUGUUGAAGCAGGAGUAUUUCCAGAUUGCGGUGCGCAUCCGCGAGGGGAUGGAGAACACGGCGCCCCGGCCCAGUUUCCUCAGCAUGAUGAUGAUGCAGGUGGACCAGUUCGUCCUGACCGCCAUCACCCCGGACAUGUUGGCCGCCGAGGACACCGAGUCGGACCCGGGAGACCUCAUCUUCAACAUCACCUCGCCCGUGGGCCACCACGACAUGUGCAUUGUCAGCACCGACGACCAGAACCUGCCCAUCUCUUCCUUCCGCCAGCGGGACGUGGAGGAGUUGAAGAUCGCCUACCGGCCCCCGGCCGACGACUCAGACCAAGAGAGGAUCUUCCAGCUGGAGAUGCAGGUGGUGGACACGGAGGGAGCGGUGUCCGAGCCGUUCGCCUUCAUGGUGGUGGUGAAACCCAUGAACACGUUGGCGCCGGUGGUGAGCAGGAACGCGGGGCUGGUGUUGUACGAGGGCCAGUCGCGGCCUCUCAGCGGCCUGUGGCUCAGCGACGAGGACAACCUGGACGAGGUGCAGGUGACGGUGGUGGACGGGUUGAGGCACGGCGGCCUGGCGGUGCUGGGCGCGCCCAGGACCUUCUUCACCCCGGCCGAGCUGCGGGCCGGCGCCGUCAUCUACCAACACGACGGCAGCGAGACCUUCAGCGACAACGUGGUCCUGGCCAUGAGCGACGGCCUCCACCGAGUCGAGUUCCUCUGCCCCGUCACCGUGGUCCCCACAGACGACGAGGCGCCGGUCCUCAACGCCAACACCGGCCUGGCCCUACCCGAACGCCGCACCGUACCCGUAUCCCCUCUGGCCCUCAGCGCCACCGACGUGGACUCCGAGGACUCUACCCUCCUGUUCGUGGUGGAACCUCCAAUCUCCCAACUGGGCCACAUGGUCCUGAGGCAGAGCGAAAGGCCGCUCGACCCGUCCACAUGGACCUCGAUCCAGGGACACGAGGCUUACGAGAAGGUGGUCCAAGAGUGGCACCAGCAGGACAUCCUGGACGGGAGGCUCUUCUACCGCCACGUCGGGCACCACACCACCUCCACCGUCAUGGACCAGAUAGUCUUCCGAGUCCAGGACGACAACGACCCCCCCAACCAGUCGGGCCAGCAAUCCUUCAUCGUCAAGAUCCAACCAGUAGAUGAUGUCCCACCACAGAUGCACCCAGCGGCCACCCUACAGAUGGUGGUGGAGGAAUACCGCCUGACCUACUUCAGUAGGAAGUUCCUGCGCUUCACGGACGUGGACUCGGAGGACCGGGAGCUGAGGUACACGGUGACCAGCCCUCCCACCGACACGGAUGAGAACAACCCGGUGGCCAUGGGCAACAUCGUGCUGACCGAGAGCCCCGGCACCCUGGUGAAUGAGUUCACCCAAGCGCAGGUCAACCACCACAAGGUGGCCUACCAACCCCCGGACGUGGAACUGGGCAUCACGCCUCAUGUGGUCCAGUUCGACUUCAGUGUGGAGGACACGGCUGGAAACGUGGCCCGGGGCACCUGCACCAUCUUCCUACAGCCCGUGGACAACAAGCCGCCCCAGAUCACCAACACCGGCUUCACCGUGCUGGAGAGGGACACCUACCUGAUCACCAGCGCCGAGCUGGACGCCACCGACGCCGACACAGACGGACCUCGGAUCACCUUCACGCUGGCUCAGCCCCCGGGACACGGGCAACUGCAGUACGCUGGCGUGGCCGUCAACGAAGGGGAGGCCUUCAACUUGAACGACAUCGCGACCGGGAAGAUCGCCUACGUCCACGAUGGCCACGAGUCGACCGGGGAUUCCUUGAAGGUGGACGUGAGCGAUGGAGUCCACACGGUGACCAUCAAGGUGCGAGUGACGGUACGCCCGGUGGACGACGAGGUGCCCACCAUCAUGUUGGCCGCGGGCACCAUUGGCUUCCACCUCGACGUGUUGGAGAACGGGGUGACCGAGAUCACCACCAACGUCAUCCAGGGCACAGACCGGGACACCGACGACCUCCGGUUGACUUUCAUCGUGGACGAGUCGCCGAGACUCGGGGAGGUCCUGGUGAACGGAGUCCCCGCGGAGAGAUUCACGCAACGGGACAUCAUCAACGGGCUGGUCCUGUACUCGCACACCGGCGGCGAGGUGGGACUGCAGAGGAAGGAAGACUCCUUCAACCUGACCCUCACCGACAUGUCGGACGAGUGGGACAUUGGGGGGAAUAAAGUCCAGGGCGUCCGUGUGCAGGUGACCAUCCUACCCGUGGACAGCCAAGCGCCCAGUGUGGUGGUCGGUCAACUCUUCACGGUGGUCGAAGGCGAGAAGAACUCAGUGACGACGGAAAAUCUCCGGGCUGAAGAUGUGGAUAGUCCCGGCGACGAUAUCCUCUGCACCAUCAUCGUCCAACCCAACUCGGGCUACGUGGAGAACAUCUCGCCGGCUCCUGGUUCGGAGACGUCGCGGACGGGGACGGCGGUCACUGCCUUCUCUCUGAAGGAGAUCCGCCUCGGCCACAUUAACUACGUGCAAAGCAUCCACAGGACCGUGGAGCCAGUGGAGGAUCGCUUCACGUUCCGCUGCUCGGACGGCAUCAACUUCUCGCACAAGCACUUCUUCCCCAUCCUGAUCAUCCCGGCCAACGACGAGAAGCCGGCGAUCUUCAUGCGCGAGUUCGUGGUGAUGGAAGGGAUGAGUUUGGUGAUAGACACCCCCAUCCUCAACGCCGCCGACGCGGAUGUCCCGGCCGACGAGUUGACCUUCACCGUGGUGAGGCCACCGAAGCACGGCAGGAUCGUCAACCAGAUGGCCACGGGCACCGUGUACAUGGACAGCUUCACCCUGGGCCAGAUCACUGGGGGGUCCAGCAUCGUGUACGAGCACGACGACUCGGAGACCACGGAGGACAGCUUCGACGUGCGGCUGAGCGACGGCACCCACAGCGUGGACAAGUCCGUGGUCAUCAUGGUCAUCCCUCUGGACGACGAGACCCCGAGGAUGACCAUCAACGACGGCCUGGAGAUUGAGAUCGGCGAGAGCAAAACCAUCACCAAUAACAUCCUGAGGGCCACCGACCUGGACUCGGAGGACAAGUCUCUGGUGUACAUCAUCCGGUAUGGACCAAGCCAAGGGCUGCUGCAGCGCCUGCUGCCUUCUGGAGGACUGGCCAACAUCACGGGAGGUAUGAACUUCACCCAGGACGACGUGGACCACGGUGCGAUCCAGUACACUCACACGGGCCACGAGGGCAUGCGGGACCUGAUCAAGUUUGAUGUGACCGACGGGAUCAACCCACUCAUUGACCGCUACUUCUAUGUCACCAUUGGGGGCGUGGACAUGAUCUUCCCGGACGUGGUGAGCAAAGGGGUGUCUCUGAAGGAGGGGGGGCGGGUAACUCUCACCACCGAUCUUCUCAGCACCACGGACCUCAACAGCCCGGACGAGCACUUGGUCUUCAGCAUUACCCGAGCCCCUGUCCGGGGCCACCUGGAGUGUAGCGACCUGCCUGGGGUUCCCGUCUCCACCUUCAGCCAACUGCAGCUGGCCGGGAACAAGGUCUACUACAUCCACACCGCGGACGACGAGGUGAAGAUGGACAGCUUUGAAUUCGAGGUGACCGACGGCCGCAACCCCGUGUUCCGCACCUUCCGCAUCUCCAUCAGCGACGUGGACAACAAGAAGCCCGUGCUGGUCGUGCACCAACUGGUGGUGAACGAGGGGGAGGUGAAGCUCAUCACCCCGUUCGAGCUGACGGUGGAGGACAGGGACACCCCGGACGGCUCGCUGCUCUUCACCGUCACCCAGCUGCCGGUCCACGGCCGCCUGCUCUUCAACCUCACGGCGUCCGUCACCUCCUUCACCAAGCAGGACCUCAACGAGAACCUCAUCAGCUACAAGCACGACGGCGCCGAGUUCCCCGAGGACAGCUUCUCCUUCACCGUCACCGACGGCACCCACAGCGGCUUCUACGUCUUCCCCGACACGGUGUUCGAGACCCGGCGGCCGCAGACCAUGUGGAUCCGCACAGUGGCCGUGGACAACGGGGUCCCACAGGUCGUGGUCAACAGAGGAGCUCCAACUCUCCGCGGCCUGUCCACCGGGCACCUGGGCUUCACCAUCACCAGCAAGGCUCUGCGGGCCCAGGACCGAGACAGUGUGGAUACCCUACUCAAGUACAAGGUGAUGGAAGGCCCUCAACACGGAUACCUGAUCCACGUGGCCAAAGGCAAUGGCAGCAUCUCCAGAUUCACUCAAGGGGAUGUCAAUGACAUGAAGAUCUGCUACAUACUGAAGGAAGGAGUCAACGCAACAAGUGACAUCUUUCAUUUCUCCAUCGAGGAUAGUGGAGGAAAUAAACUGCAGAACCAGCUCUUCCGCCUGAACUGGGCGUGGAUUUCUCUGGAGAAGGAAUAUUAUCUGAUAGACGAGAAUUCCAAGUUUCUGGUGGUGAUACUAAAACGCAGAGGCUAUCUUGGAGAAACCUCAUUUGUUGGGAUUGGGACCAAGGAUGUCACAGCUAAGAAGGAUAAGGAUUUCAGAGGGAAGUCACAGAAACAAGUGCAGUUCAACCCUGGGCAGUCGACAGCAACUUGGAGAGUACAGAUAUUGACCGAUCACCAAUACGAACAGUCUGAAACAUUCCAGAUUGUUCUAUCAGAGCCAGUCAUGGCUGUUCUCGAAUUCCCAGAGAUCGCAACUGUGGAAAUUCUUGACCCGGGUGAUGAGUCGACUGUCUUCAUCGUCCAGUCCUCUUAUGCCAUUGAUGAACAUGUUGGUGAGCUGUUGAUCCCGGUGAUGAGAACAGGAGAUGUGAGCCAGGAGCUGAUGGUCAUGUGCUUCACUCAACAAGGCACUGCGAGGGGAACAAUUCCAUCCAGCGUGCUAUCCUACUCCGAUUAUAUCACCCGGCCUGAAGACCAUAAGAGUGUUCUCCGCUUCGACAAGGAUGAGACGGAGAAGUUUUGUCAGGUGGUCAUCAUCGACGACUCCCUGUAUGAGAGCGAGGAGACAUUCAACGUCACCCUGAGCAUGCCCAUGGGCGGCCGGCUGGGAGACCACCCCAGUGCCCAGGUCUUCAUAGUGCCCGACCCAAAUGACGAGCCAGUCUUUUACUUUGGUGACACGGAGUAUUGGGUGGAUGAGAGCGACGGCUAUGUGGAAGUCCAAGUGUGGAGAACAGGGACAGACUUGUCCAAGACUGCGACCGUCACCGUCCGAUCCCGCAAAACACAGCCAGCCUCUGCCGAAGCUGGUGUGGAUUACGUGGGGAUCAGCAGCAACCUGGACUUUGCCCCGGGAGUGAACGUGCAGGCGCUGAGGGUGACCAUCCUCGAUGACCUGGGGCGGCCUGUGCUGGAGGGCACUGAGAAGUUUGAGCUGGUGCUGAGGAUGCCCAUGAACGGAGCCCUGGGGGAGCCCAGCAAGGUCACCGUGCUCAUAAACGACUCCGUCUCUGACCUGCCGAAGGUGCAGUUCAAAGAAUCGACGUACGUGGUGAAGGAGAAUGAUGGUCAAGUCACGGCGGUGGUUUACCGGAGCGGGGAUAUCAACUACAAGUCCAGCGUGCGGUGUUACACCCGCCAAGCCUCUGCCCAGGUCAUGAUGGACUUCGCUGAGCGGCCUAACACAGAUGAGUCUGUCAUCACCUUUCUCCCAGGUGAGAUUGAGAAGCCAUGCGCCGUGACUCUGAGCGACGACUCCAUACAUGAAGAAGUUGAGGAGUUGAGGCUGGUUCUUGGCUCGCCGAAGAGUGAGUCUUCAUUUGGUGCCUCGAUAGGUGACGUCAACGAAACUCUGAUAAAGAUCACGGACAAAGCUGACAAGGCCGUCAUCAAAUUUGGAGAGACCAAGUUUAGUGUCAGCGAACCGAACGAGCCCGGGCAGAUCGCAGUUGUAAAAAUCCCCGUACUGCGCCAAGGAGAUGUGUCCAAAGUGUCCAUUGUCCGAGUGCACACAAAAGAUGGGUCGGCCGUCUCCGGAGAUGACUAUCACCCCUUGUCUGAAGACAUCCAGUUUAAGGAAGGUGAGCGCCAGCACUUUGUGGAGGUUGAGGUCCUUUACGAUGGACUGAGAGAGAUGCGGGAAGCAUUCACCGUUCACCUGAAACCUGAUGAAAACAUGGUGGCAGAAACACAGACAAACAAAGUGAUCGUGUACAUCGAGGAGAUGAACAGCAUGGCCGACGUGAUGUUUCCCUCGGUACCACAAGUGGUCUCCCUGCUCAUCUAUGACGAUACCUCCCGGGCCAAGGAAAGCCCCAGCCCUCCGGCCGGCUACCCCGUCAUCUGUGUCACCGCGUGUAAUCCUAAAUAUGCUGAUUACGACAAAACUGGGUCGAUCUGCGGCAGUGAGAACAUCAACGACACCCUGACCCGUUACCGCUGGCUGGUGAGCGCUCCGACUGGCCCCGACGGGGUGACCAGCCCCCUGAGAGAGGUGGACUCCAACACCUUCUUCACCUCCUCCAAGAUGAUCACCCUCGACUCCAUCUACUUCCAAGCGGGCUCCCGAGUGCAGUGCGCGGCUCGUGCUGUCAAUGCCAAUGGGGAUGAGGGCCUUGAACUCUCCAGCCCCAUCAUCUCCAUCAGCAUCGCAGAAGGUUUGUGCCAGCCCAGAGUACAAGGAACAGUGGGAGCGGAACCGUUCUCCGCCAAGCUGCGUUACACUGGCACUGAUGACCCAGCCCAUACCAACCUGAUCAAGUUGACUGUAACCCUGCCUCACAUUGAUGGAAUGCUCCCCGUUAUCUCCACGCGCCAGCUCUCCAACUUUGAGUUGACUCUCAGCCCCGACGGAACCCGCGUCGGCAACCACAGGUGCUCCAACCUCCUGGACCACGACGAGGUGAAGACCCACCACGGCUUCCUGUCCCACUCCACCAGGAGGCCGCAGGUGAUCGGAGACACGUCCCCGUACCAGUACAACUCCGCUCUGCGAGGCUCCUCCACCCUCAGGUUCUACCGCAACCUCAACCUAGACGCCUGCCUCUGGCAGUUUGAGAGUUUCUACGACAUGUCCGAGCUCCUCACCGACUGCGGGGGAACCAUCGGCACCGAUGGCCAGGUUCUCAACCUGGUGCAGUCGUACGUGACGCUGCGGGUGCCGCUGUACGUGUCCUAUGUGUUCCACUCUCCGGUAGGGGUGGGCGGCUGGCAACACUUUGACCUGCAGUCCGAGCUGCGCCUCACCUUUGUCUACGACACCGCCAUCUUGUGGCGAGAUGGCGUUGGCAGCCCCCCCGAGGCCGAGCUGCAGGGAGCGCUGUAUCCCACCAGCAUGCGGAUCAACGCUGAGGGCCGGCUUGUCGUCAACUUCCGCACCGAAGCGCGGUUCCGGGGUCUGUUUGUCAUGUUACACCCUGCCUCUGCUCUGAGAUCCAUGGUGAUGUGUGCUGACCAUCCAGGCCUCACCUUUACACUGAGUUUAGUUCGCAGUGAACCCAGCUACAACCAUCCUGAACAGCAGUGGAGCUUCACGUCAGACUUUGCAGUCCGUGAUUAUUCGGGUACGUACACGGUGAAACUGAUUCCAUGCGCUUCGUCCCCAAGUCAAGACUAUACUCUCCCCAUAGUCUGCAAUCCGAGGGAGCCCAUAAUCUUUGAUCUGGACAUCAGGUUUCAGCAGGUCAGUGACCCAGUGCCGGCCGAGUUCAGUCUCAACACACAGAUGUUCCUCCUGAACAAGAAGAGUCUCUGGCUGUCUGAUGGCUCCAUGGGCUUUGGAGAAGGCAGUGAUGUGGCGUUCACUGAAGGAUCGGUUGUGUACGGGCGUGUAAUGGUGGAUCCCGUCCAGAACCUGGGGGACUCGUUCUUUUGCAACAUAGAGAAGGUGUUCCUGUGCACCGGUGCGGACGGAUACGUUCCCAAGUACAACCCGUUAAACGCUGAGUACGGCUGUGUGGCAGACUCUCCCUCCCUCUUGUACAGGUUCAAAAUCCUGGACAAGGCCCAGCCUGAAACCCAGGACGUGUACUUUGGUAACCUGGCCUUCAACGCUCGGCUGGCAAUCGACGAUUAUGAAGCCCUCGGACUCGCCACCCAGCCCGGCUCUGACGGAUUCCAUGUGGACUCCUCUCCGCUCUUCCAGGUGACGUCUGGUCGAGAGUGGUACAUCCACACUAUAUACACGGUGCGGUCGGGAGAGAGUGCCGGUAGGGGGAUUGGGAAGAGGAGCCUGGAAUACCACGCAGUGUCCGGCUGGGAUUCGGCCAGCCCGGGUUCACGGCGGCGCCGGUCGGCGGAGGAUUCCCCGCAGCCGGCCGAGAACAUCGGAGUGGACAACCGCAGAGGCACCAACAUGCAGCACGUGGUGCUGCAGCGCAGCGGCACGCAGCGGGCGCUGGUGGAGGACAGGAGGUUGGCGCAAGGUGCCGUGGCCAAGUCUCCCGGCGACGGCGCGGGGACGGGCGUCGGUGUCCCGGUGGCGGGUGGAGUGGCCGCCCUCCUGCUGGCCAUCUGCGCCGCCAUUGUCAUCGUCCUGCUGGUGAGACGAAGGAGGUCCUGGGUCAAGAAAGCGGACUGCAACAACCCGCCUAGCGGGAAGGUCGGCACUGCCCACAGUUUGCAGCACCAGGACAGCUCCGAAGUUUGACCCACUAGAACUCAGCCCAGCCCAGAGCGCCUCGGAGCAAGCCAACCAACCGUGCCUUACUGCAAAAGACCACUACCUUAUUUAUCCAGUUCACAUGGACGAACCACUCCACUUGUUGAAACUUCAAUGUUUGGCCUCAGAAACGCAAGCGUGAUCGUUCACAACGUCUGGUGGUGGAUCUCAUGAUAUCGUCUGUGGUGCUCAGAGUUCAUCAAGUGACCCAAAACGCACUGUGCAAACCAGGAGCAAAGCCCGCAAACAGGGGAACGGCAUGGGGAGCUCUCGGUUUCUAAAAGAAGAAUCAUUUAUGCUGCCUGACCCACUGAAUUACUCCAGCACUUUGUGUCUUUUCUUGUAAACCAGCAUCUGCAGUUCUGUGUGCCAUCAUUUUCCCAAGUCUGGGUUAAAAGACAAAGGUGCUAGCGUGCGUUCCUGCUGAUUGAUUAACUUGUGUUGACCCUGCUAGUACAGGCCAUGCAAUAGAUAGAACAAUCAAUAAAUCUUGUUUUAUAUUUGUUUUUUUUUACACCAUGAAUGAAUUAGUGACUUUUAUAUGAGAACUUAACAGCUGGAUGCCUUACUUUACACUACAGGAAUACAGCGUAGAAACAGGCCCUUCAGGCCACUGUCUUUGCAUCAACCAGCGAUUCCGUACACUAACACUAUCCUCCACAUAAGUCAGUUAACCUACAAACCCGCACGUCUUUGGAGUGUGGGAGGAAACCAAAGAUCUCGGAGAAAACACACGGGAGAACGUGCAAACUCCGUACAGACAGCACCCGUGGUGAGGAUUGAAACCGGGUGUGUGGCGCAGCAGUUCUACCUGCUGCCUCAAUGGGCCGCCCAGAAUUGUUUUCAAUGUUUUGAAAGUUCACCAAACAUGAAGUUCCUGCCUUAGAGUAAUAGAGAGAUAGAGCAUGGGAGCAGGCCCUUCAGCCCAACACAUCCAUGCCAGCCAUCAAGCUCCCAUUUAUACUAAUCUGUUUAUUCUCCUCGCAUUUUCGUCAGCUCCUUCCAAUGCUAUCUUUCACCUACACACUGGGGACAAUGUAUAAUGGGCAGCCAACCUACCAAACAGCAGGUCUUUGUGAUGUGGGAUGAAACCAGAGCACCCUGAGUAAAAGCCAAGAGAACGUGCAAGACUGCACAUAAGACAAAGACACAAAGUGCUGGAGUAACUCAGCAGGUCAGGCAGCAUCUCUGGAGAAUGUGGUCAGGUGAGGCUCAGGACCCUUCUCCAAUGCUUGUUCCUUCAGCAGUUUGUGUCUUUUUUUUAAUAAACCAGCAUCUGCAGUUCCUUAUUUCUACAUUUCGACAGCACCCGAGGUCAGGAUAGAACUCGAUCUGCUGCGCCACUGCGCCGCCCUAGUGUUUCAGAGUGGAACAGCUCCAGUUCUAGAGUAUGGUCCAGUGUGUAAGAGACAGUGAGAGAUUUGAUAGACAUCUAUCUGCCCAGUGACCACUCUCUCUCAUCACUUGUGCCCGACCUCAGAAGGAAGCAAAACACUGAAGAAAGUAACUGAUAUUGCUGCACUCACUGCAUAGACGUUAUUAAAAUAAAAAGGCAUUCACACAGAGGGUGGUGGGUGUAUGGAACAAGCUGCCAGAGGAGGUGGUUGAGGCAGGUACAUAACAGCAUUUAAAAGAUACUUGGACUGGAACAUGGAUAGGAAAGAUUUAGAGGGAUAUGGGCCAAACGCGGGCAAGUGGGGCUAGUGUGGAUGGGAUAUCUUGGUCGGCAUGGACGAGUUGGGCCAAAGGGUCUGUUUCCAUGCUGUGCGACUGGCAUUUUAACUAUUGGUUCAUCAGAAAAAUACGUUUGUCUGUAAAUUCUCUACCUAGGUGAUUUUAUGGUGUGUAUUCUUGUUUGGAGUCUCAUGAAGUCACAGAGCCAUAUAGCACGGAAACAGGCCCUUCGGCCCACCUUGCCCAUGCCAACAUUGUUGGCAAACUGGGCCAGUCCCAUUUGCCUGCAUUUGGCCUGUAGCACUGUAAAUUAGAUAUUUUUAAAGUGCAGAUUGACAGGUUGGUGAUUAGUUGAUUGUCAAGGGUUACGGGGAGAAGGCAGGGGAAUGGGGUUGAGAGGGAAAGAUAGAUCAACCAUGAUUGAAUGGAGGAGUAGACUUGAUGGGCCAAAUGGCCUAAUUCUGCUCCUAUAUGAACUUAUAAAGUGCCCCGGGUGUGUAGGGAGUGGAUGAGAAAGUGGGAAAACAGAACUGGUGUGAGUGGGUGAUCGAUGGUCGGCAUGGACUCGGUGGGACGAAGGGCCUGUUUCCAUGCUGUAUCUCUCAACCAAACCAGACUGGUAUAUUCACAAGCCCUGUUCCACACAUCGAUGUGACUAGAUGUGAUAUAACAGUUUUGUUUUAAAAAGCCACAACAAAUUAAUUGUAGUCUGAUAUUCAAACAGACUUCUUACAUGUCUCCCAGGUAAUUUCCAUUUACACAAUAUAAUUCCAUUUGCCCUUUAGUUAUAAAGUAAAAAAAUAAUCUAUCCAUAAACAAAUCCCUUCACAAUACAGAAUGAAGUCUUUUUUAAAUAACAUUACAUUUUCACACAUGAACUGUGGCAUUCGAUUUAAGAUUGUACACUCGACACUAGCAGCUAGCCUCUGUGUGAUUCUGCAGGGUAGACAUUGCUGUUUUCAUGUAGAUUGUGUAGCAAAGUGUUGGACAAAUUUUGCAAUUGAGAUGCUUUUAAAAUGCUCGUAUAAUUGAGGCCACUUGACAAUACGAUGCAGAAACACUGAGAGAUUCACUGCUCUUUCAAAGAGAUUUUUUGUUUCUUCUCCAUUGCAAUCAGUCUUUCCAGCUUUAAAAAAAUAAUAUGUAUGUAUUGUUCUUUUGUGUACUAUGUUGAAUUAUUUGGAAGGAUCAAACUAUGCAAUCUACAGCAGAAGCAUUUAACUAAUGUAUUGUAUGAGUAUAAAUAGAUAUAUUGGUUCUUCAGCUUGUUAAAAUUGCAUUGUUUUGUCUGUUUUGUUGAAACUACUUUUAUAUUCCGCUUUGAGACGCUGGUGCCUAAAACACGAUUGGUGGAUAUAUGUUUUUUGGUAGAGUUCCAGUACUUGUUUCAUUGGCUGCCAACUGGAAGUUUUUGUAACUUGUUACAAGAAUAAUGUGUGUAAAACAUCACUUGUUGAAAUGAUAUGACGUUUGCAUUGACAAGAACGUCGCCAGGCUAGGCCGAAACCUGCAACUCCGACCCAGUGCCGUCGCCAGGACAACGGGCCUUUACGGCCAGGAUAAGACUUGACUUUACAGCCACUCUGAACUUGGAGGGUUCAAAAUGUCACUGGAAACGUGUCGACUUGUGUACUCCCUCAGUGAUAUCUACUAUACCUACUCUCUUGUACUUAAAUAUAAUGGUGCUUACGUAUAGUAGGGUUGUUACUGGACUGUAUGCAAAAACAGAAUUGUACUGUAUCUAGGUACUUGUGACAAUAAAGUACCAUUGAUUUACAAA